AAAAAAAAUCUAUUGAAAAUUAACAUUAUUAAAAGAAGGUAUAUUUGUCAUUUGUUUUUUGGACUAAAUCAUCUUCAUCCAAAUGGUUCUACCAAAUCCAUCCAAAUGAGUUUCACAAAUUAGCCUAAGUUUAACAGAUGAAACAUCCAAAUGAUUUGUUAAUUUGUAAAAAACAAACAUCAUUUUUCAUUUUCAUCCAGAUGAUCCAUUUGGAUGGAGAAACAAACAGGGCCUAUAUUGAUCGCAUUUGACCACAUGAGGAUUUAGAAUUUAUUUA
rnacentral:sRNA from 1 species